GCCAGACUCCUACGGGAGGCAGCAGUGGGGAAUAUUGCACAAUGGGGGAAACCCUGAUGCAGCGACGCCGCGUGAGUGAAGAAGUAUUUCGGUAUGUAAAGCUCUAUCAGCAGGGAAGAAGAAGGACGGUACCUGAGUAAGAAGCCCCGGCUAACUACGUGCCAGCAGCCGCGGUAAUACGUAGGGGGCAAGCGUUAUCCGGAUUUACUGGGUGUAAAGGGGGCGCAGACGGCGAUGCAAGCCAGGAGUGAAAGCCCGGGGCCCAACCCCGGGACUGCUCUUGGAACUGCGUGGCUGGAGUGCAGGAGGGGCAGGCGGAAUUCCUGGUGUAGCGGUGAAAUGCGUAGAUAUCAGGAGGAACACCGGUGGCGAAGGCGGCCUGCUGGACUGCAACUGACGUUGAGGCGCGAAAGCGUGGGGAGCAAACAGGAUUAGAUACCCCCGUAA
rnacentral:rRNA from 1 species